rnacentral:rRNA from 1 species
GACGAACGCUGGCGGCGUGCCUAAUACAUGCAAGUCGAACGCUGAAGAGAGGAGCUUACUCUUCUUGGAUGAGUUGCGCACGGGUGAGUAACGCGUAGGUAACCUGCCUUGUAGCGGGGGAUAACUAUUGGAAACGAUAGCUAAUACCGCCUAACAAUGGAUGACACAUGUCAUUUAUUUGAAAGGGGCAAUUGCUCCACUACAAGAUGGACCUGCGUUGUAUUAGCUAGUAGGUGAGGUAAUGGCUCACCUAGGCGACGAUACAUAGCCGACCUGAGAGGGUGAUCGACCACACUGGGACUGGGACACGGCCCAGACUCCUACGGGAGGCAGCAGUAGGGAAUCUUCGGCAAAGGGGGCAACCCUGACCGAGCAACGCCGCGUGAGUGAAGGAGGUUUUCGGAUCGUAAAGCUCUGUUGUAAGUCAAGAACGGGAGUGAGAGUGGAAAGUUCACACUGUGACGGUAGCUGACCAGAAAGGGACGGCUAACUACGUG